rnacentral:rRNA from 1 species
AAUCAACGCUGGCGGCGUGCCUAACACAUGCAAGUCGAACGCGAAAGUCCCGCAAGGGAUCAGUAGAGUGGCAAACGGGUGAGUAACACGUGGGUGACCUGCCUUCGAGUGGGGGAUAACGUCCCGAAAGGGACGCUAAUACCGCGUGACAUCCUGCCUUUGAAGAGGUGGAGCUUAAAGCUGGGGAUCGCAAGACCUAGCGCUUGAAGAGGGGCCCGCGCCUGAUUAGCUAGNGGUGAGGUAACGGCUCACCAAGGCAACGAUCAGUAUCCGGCCUGAGAGGGCGGACGGACACACUGGGACUGAGACACGGCCCAGACUCCUACGGAGGCAGCAGUGGGGAAUUGUUCGCAAUGGGCGCAAGCCUGACGACGCAACGCCGCGUGGAGGAUG